rnacentral:rRNA from 1 species
GAUGAACGCUAGCGGCAGGCUUGACACAUGCAAGUCGAGGGGUAGGGAAAGCUUGCUUUUCUGAGACCGGCGCACGGGUGCGUAACGCGUAUGCAAUCUACCUUUCACAGAGGGAUAGCCCAGAGAAAUUUGGAUUAAUACCUCAUAGUAAUACGACUUGGCAUCAAGAUGUAUUUAAAGACUUAUCGGUGAGAGAUGAGCAUGCGUCCCAUUAGCUAGUUGGUAUGGUAACGGCAUACCAAGGCAACGAUGGGUAGGGGUCCUGAGAGGGAGAUCCCCCACACUGGUACUGAGACACGGACCAGACUCCUACGGGAGGCAGCAGUGAGGAAUAUUGGACAAUGGGCGCAAGCCUGAUCCAGCCAUGCCGCGUGCAGGAUGACGGUCCUAUGGAUUGUAAACCGCUUUUAUACAGGAAGAAACACCUCUACGUGUAGAGACUUGACGGUACUGUAAGAAUAAGGAUCGGCUAACUCCGUGCCAGCAGCCGCGGUAAUACGGAGGAUCCAAGCGUUAUCCGGAAUCAUUGGGUUUAAAGGGUCCGUAGGCGGUCAGGUAAGUCAGUGGCGAAAGCCCAUCGCUCAACGGUGGAACGGCCAUUGAUACUGUCUGACUUGAAUUAUUAGGAAGUAACUAGAAUAUGUAGUGUAGCGGUGAAAUGCUUAGAGAUUACAUGGAAUACCAAUUGCGAAGGCAGGUUACUACUAAUUGAUUGACGCUGAUGGACGAAAGCGUGGGUAGCGAACAGGAUUAGAUACCCUGGUAGUCCACGCCGUAAACGAUGGAUACUAGCUGUUGGGAGCAAUCUCAGUGGCUAAGCGAAAGUGAUAAGUAUCCCACCUGGGGAGUACGAACGCAAGUUUGAAACUCAAAGGAAUUGACGGGGGCCCGCACAAGCGGUGGAGCAUGUGGUUUAAUUCGAUGAUACGCGAGGAACCUUACCAAGGCUUAAAUGUAGAUUGACCGUUUGGAAACAGAACU